rnacentral:rRNA from 1 species
GAUGAACGCUGGCGGCGUGCCUAAUACAUGCAAGUCGAGCGAACAGAUAAGGAGCUUGCUCCUUUGACGUUAGCGGCGGACGGGUGAGUAACACGUGGGUAACCUACCUAUAAGACUGGAAUAACUCCGGGAAACCGGGGCUAAUGCCGGAUAACAUUUAGAACCGCAUGGUUCUAAAGUGAAAGAUGGUUUUGCUAUCACUUAUAGAUGGACCCGCGCCGUAUUAGCUAGUUGGUAAGGUAACGGCUUACCAAGGCAGCGAUACGUAGCCGACCUGAGAGGGUGAUCGGCCACACUGGAACUGAGACACGGUCCAGACUCCUACGGGAGGCAGCAGUAGGGAAUCUUCCGCAAUGGGCGAAAGCCUGACGGAGCAACGCCGCGUGAGUGAUGAAGGUCUUCGGAUCGUAAAACUCUGUUAUUAGGGAAGAACAAAUGUGUAAGUAACUGUGCACGUCUUGACGGUACCUAAUCAGAAAGCCACGGCUAACUACGU